rnacentral:rRNA from 1 species
AUGGCGGCUCCGAGAGCACUCGCCCUCUGCGUCCUGCUGGCCAUCGCCGUCGCCAAUGCGAAGGCGGCGUCCGUGGUCGUCGGCCUGGCCAAAUGCGCUGACUGCACCAGGAAGAACAUGAAGGCUGAGGAAGCCUUCAAGGCUCUGCAGGUGGCGAUCAAGUGCAAGAACAGCACCGGCGAGUACGAGAGCAAGGCCGUGGGCGCCCUCGACGGCACCGGCGCCUUCAGCGUGCCCCUCGCUUCUGACCUCCAUGGCGCCGACUGCGUCGCUCAGCUCCACAGCGCCGCCUCCAACGUGCCGUGCCCCAGCCAGGAGCCGUCCACGAUCGUGCCGGUGUCUGACGGCACAACCUACGGCGUCGUCGCUGGCGAGAACACCGCCAUGUCGUCCGCGGCGUCGCCCGAGUGCGCAUCCAUGACCCUGUGCGGGCCGAUCAAGAAGCACAUCAUCGAGCACUUCCAUCACAAGAAGUCCGUGCCGCCCAAGCCGGAGCCCAAGCCCCAGCCCCACCCGGACUACGGCCCCGUGCCCAAGCCGGAGCCGAAGCCGCAGCCACACCCGGACUACCACCCCGUCCCUCCCACGCCCACCUACGGCGGCGGCGGCGGCGGUGGAUACCACGGACACCACUGA